UCUCAUCCGCAAGCUCCUUUAUCUCGCUGUGGUCAUUAGGAUGAAAACGAAUCUAAAAGAGAAGCAAUACCAGGUUACUAGGGGCUAAAAGGUUGUUGAACGCGUAACGCAAUCAUUUCUACUGUCUCACCAAGGUCACGCAUCAGUCGUGCUGGAAAACUACCGCAGACCGGAAAAGCUGUUUGUUUUUCGCGCCCGUGCUCUACAUCCGGGAGCUGAUUGUUGCAUAAGCUAGAGGAAGGUUAGAGGAGUAGAUUGACGUGAAAUACGGCCAGAGUUACCAAAUAAAUAUCUAUUUAUCGAAGUUCGACGAUAGCGCAUCGAGUGUCUUGUCCGCCAUAUUGGAAGAGGAAUGUGGUUCAAGACAACACAAAGAACAAGAAAGCAAAAUUCACUCUUUAGUGUGUUGAUUUUGUAGAGUAGACAAUAAAAACACAAAUCCUUUCUCGUUUUGGUUUGGUUUGGCUUGUAUGGGUUUUAGAUAGCGAAAUAUCCAAUAAAAUGUUGAACCAAGCAAAUUUAUCGUGAAGGCUCUAAUUCCAUCCAUGUAA